CCAAAUUGGGAGUCUGGUCGAUCAAGAAACAAGCAGGGGGCGACAUCCCCAUUUCCAAACCCUAACUCAAGCAAAAUCCCUUCAAUUGAAGCCCCAAAUCAGUUCCAAAUCGAGCUCUAAUCACAUAUUAGUAAACACCUCGUUGUAAGGAUCAAAAGGCAAAGAGUCCGGUUCCUCUAGCGGGCAAGCCGGAGGGGAUUCACGAGUAAAAGGCGCGCUCUAAAGUUCUCAGGUACCCAAGUAAAGGAUGAAGAUCAAGCAAGCGAGUCGAACCGAACACACACAUUUUUAGAACGCUUCCGCAUCCGAACUUUUGUUUUAAAAACUAUGUAAACUAAUGGUAGUUACCGUCUUGAAUGUGGUUUGUAACAACAAUACAUGUAUGUUGUGUUUAGUUUUGGGUUUAAAUGAUGAAAGUUUUUGUUAAGUCGUCAUUUUGGCGUUAAA